rnacentral:tRNA from 1 species
CCCGCGGUAGCUCAGCCUGGAAGAGCGGUCGGCUGUAGACCGAUUGGUCGCAGGUUCAACUCCUGCCCGCGGGACCA